GGAUCGGUCGGGUGGUCCACCGUUCGCGGUGCGUACUGCCUUUCCAGACCGAUCCUUAACCUUCCGGUCGUGACCGUGCGCCAGGAUGCGUUGUGGGGUGCGGGGCUUUCGGGUCUCGCACCUCCACAGCGAGGGUCGGGCGCACAAUGGGAACCCGGAACAUUUACCUUGAAAAAAUUAGAGUGUUUAAAGCAGGCAAGCGCUUGAAUAGAUUAGCAUGGAAUAAUGGAAUAGGACUUUGGUCUUAUUUUGUUGGUUUCUAAGACCACAGUA
rnacentral:rRNA from 1 species